UUGACAUCUGGCACCAGAGCAAAAACUUGCAAAUCUUAAACUGCCUUCACACAAGGAACUUGUGACACAGACAGCUGCAGCCUCACAGCCCACAGGCUUGGACUAGCUACACUCCCUACAAAGGGUACAGAGCCUGGAUUGGAAGAGAACACAGUAGAAGGGCCAUGUUGGGUUUUCAACGUGCAUUCAGGUUGCUCAAUGCAACAGUGAGGAAUCAGAUUGUUCCCAGAGCAAAUAUUGUUUCUGGAGCACCAGAGGAGAUUGUCACUCCAGCUGAUCAAGCCAUCGCGCUGACUGUGAUGUUUGCAACCUUCCUGAUCCCCUCAGGCUGGGUUCUGGCACAUAUCGAGGACUACAAGCGCAAGCCUAGCGAGUGAGAGACAGGAGGAAGCUGCAUCCAGCCUAGUUCAGGAGAAUGGGAAGAGGAGACUAUUGAACGAACCCCUUCAUGGCAAACUGACCUUUAAGGAUUUUAUAAUUAAAACACCAUGAAAAACACAA